rnacentral:pre_miRNA from 8 species
ACCUGCAGCCACGCCACUCGCUGUUCCUUUUUCCUAUGCAUAUACUUCUUUGAGGGUCUGGCCUAAAGAGGUGUAGGGCAUGGGAAAAUGGGGCCCCGAGGUUCCCCUGCGCCAGAGC